GGCGGACGGGUGAGUAACACGUGGGUAACCUGCCCUUAAGUGGGGGAUAACAUUUGGAAACAGAUGCUAAUACCGCAUAGAUCCAAGAACCGCAUGGUUCUUGGCUGAAAGAUGGCGUAAGCUAUCGCUUUUGGAUGGACCCGCGGCGUAUUAGCUAGUUGGUGAGGUAAUGGCUCACCAAGGCGAUGAUACGUAGCCGAACUGAGAGGUUGAUCGGCCACAUUGGGACUGAGACACGGCCCAAACUCCUACGGGAGGCAGCAGUAGGGAAUCUUCCACAAUGGACGCAAGUCUGAUGGAGCAACGCCGCGUGAGUGAAGAAGGCUUUCGGGUCGUAAAACUCUGUUGUUGGAGAAGAAUGGUCGGCAGAGUAACUGUUGUCGGCGUGACGGUAUCCAACCAGAAAGCCACGGCUAACUACGUGCCAGCAGCCGCGGUAAUACGUAGGUGGCAAGCGUUAUCCGGAUUUAUUGGGCGUAAAGCGAGCGCAGGCGGUUUUUUAAGUCUGAUGUGAAAGCCCUCGGCUUAACCGAGGAAGCGCAUCGGAAACUGGGAAACUUGAGUGCAGAAGAGGACAGUGGAACUCCAUGUGUAGCGGUGAAAUGCGUAGAUAUAUGGAAGAACACCAGUGGCGAAGGCGGCUGUCUGGUCUGUAACUGACGCUGAGGCUCGAAAGCAUGGGUAGCGAACAGGAUUAGAUACCCUGGUAGUCCAUGCCGUAAACGAUGAAUGCUAGGUGUUGGAGGGUUCCGCCCUUCAGUGCCGCAGCUAACGCAUUAAGCAUUCCGCCUGGGGAGUACGACCGCAAGGUUGAAACUCAAAGGAA
rnacentral:rRNA from 1 species